GUUGGUGAUGACAUUCCACUUUUUGCACCUGUUAGACUGCUGAUGCAGGUGAUGUGAAUAGGAGCCUGAGC